GACGAACGCUGGCGGCGCGCUUAACACAUGCAAGUCGAACGGAAAGGCCUGCUUUCCCUUGUGGAUUGCGGGUACUCGAGUGGCGAACGGGUGAGUAACACGUGAGUGAUCUGCCCCCAACUUGGGUAUAAGCCUGGGAAACUGGGUCUAAUUCCCGAUAGUACUGCAGGGUGGUGCCUGUGGUGGAAAACGAUUUUCUAGUGGUUGGGGAUGAGCUCGCGGCCUAUCAGCUUGUUGGUGGGGUAAUGGCCUACCAAGGCGGCGACGGGUAGCCGGCCUGAGAGGGUGGACGGCCACAUUGGGACUGAGAUACGGCCCAGACUCCUACGGGAGGCAGCAGUGGGGAAUAUUGCACAAUGGGCGGAAGCCUGAUGCAGCGACGCCGCGUGGGGGAUGACGGCCUUCGGGUUGUAAACUCCUUUCGACCGCGAGGAAGCCACCUGGUUGGAAGGGUGGUGACGGUAGUGGUAGAAGAAGCACCGGCUAACUACGUG
rnacentral:rRNA from 1 species